rnacentral:rRNA from 1 species
ACCUGCCCACUGAAUAUUUUUGAAGGGCCGCGGUAUUUUGACUGUGCAAAGGUAGCAUAAUCAUUAGUCUUUUAAUUAAGGGCUGGUAUGAAUGGUUGAAUGAGGUAAAAACUGUUUUAUAUUUAUUUUAGUUGAAUUUAGAUUUUAAGUAAAAAUACUUAAAUAAUAUUAAGGGACGAGAAGACCCUAUAGAGUUUAAUAAAUAUAAUAGUAAUUGGGUUAAUAAAUAAAUUUUUGAUUACUAUGAAUUUUAUUUAGUUGGGGUGAUUAGAAAAUAAAAUCAACUUUUCUUUAGUUUUAAUG